rnacentral:rRNA from 1 species
GAUGAACGCUGGCGGCGUGCCUAAUACAUGCAAGUCGAGCGAACGGACGAGAAGCUUGCUUUUCUGAUGUUAGCGGCGGACGGGUGAGUAACACGUGGAUAACCUACCUAUAAGACUGGGAUAACUUCGGGAAACCGGAGCUAAUACCGGAUAAUAUUUUGAACCGCAUGGUUCAAAAGUGAAAGACGGUCUUGCUGUCACUUAUAGAUGGAUCCGCGCUGCAUUAGCUAGUUGGUAAGGUAACGGCUUACCAAGGCAACGAUGCAUAGACGACCUGAGAGGGUGAUCGGCCACAGUGGAACUGAGACACGGUCCAGACUACUACGGGAGGCAGCAGUAGGGAAUCUUCCGCAAUGGGCGAAAGCCUGACGGAGCAACGCCGCGUGAGUGAUGAAGGUCUUCGGAUCGUAAAACUCUGUUAUUAGGGAAGAACAUAUGUGUAAGUAACUGUGCACAUCUUGACGGUACCUAAUCAGAAAGCCACGGCUAACUACGUG